rnacentral:rRNA from 1 species
AGAUCUGGGCGGGGGGGGGUGGGGGCUUACCAUGCGAGUCGGACGGAAUCUUCGGAUUUGUGGCGGACGGGUGAGUAACGCGUGAGAAUCUGGCUCCAGGUCGGGGACAACAGUUGGAAACGACUGCUAAUACCGGAUGUGCCGAGAGGUAAAAGAUUUAUUGCCUGGAGAUGAGCUCGCGUCUGAUUAGCUAGUUGGUGUGGUAAGAGCGCACCAAGGCGACGAUCAGUAGCUGGUCUGAGAGGAUGAUCAGCCACACUGGGACUGAGACACGGCCCAGACUCCUACGGGAGGCAGCAGUGGGGAAUUUUCCGCAAUGGGCGAAAGCCUGACGGAGCAAGACCGCGUGAGGGAAGAAGGUCUGUGGAUUGUGGGGGGGGUUUUGAUUGGGAAGAAUACUGACGGUACCAAUCGAAUCAGCCUCGGCUAACUCCGUGCCAGCAGCCGCGG